UAUUAUAUGGGUACCUCUUUGAUAGCGCUUUUUGUAGAAACGCUAUUAUAGGACUUUCUACCAAAUUAAAUAAAAAAUUGCGUAAAAUAUUUUAUUUAGCGUUUUGGCUUCAGAGACCUUCUUCAAACUCAACUCAAUAUCUCGCCUAUCUCACCUUCUUCGAACUUUACCUUUUCCCUCAUCGAACUCAUUAUUUCGUGAAUCUCCUUCUUUACCUUCUUCGAUCCCCAAACGUGUUCACCUAAACCAGCCUCCAUUUUUCUCUCCGUCGAACUCAUCAACCACCAUCUCUCUAUCGAACAAAAACCUUCUUUCUCUCCGUCAAAAUCGUCGCUUGAACCCUUAAAACCUUCUUAUCUCAAUCGUUCCCCUCUUUGAACCCUAAAAUGAAAACUGAUUGAACCUAGAACUCAGAAAUCCUAAAAUUUAAUUGAAACCCUAGAAAUCAAUUGAAACCCUAGAAAUCAAUCGAACACAGAGCUCAAUUCAUUAUCUUCGUUAACACUAGAGGCCAUUUGUCACCUUAUCUACCCAUUCCGAUGGCAGGUAUUCAAUCCUUUACAUCUGUACUCCAGUGUUGAGUUCUAUUUCCCUCCUGUUUUUAUGGUUCCAUGUAUCUACAAUAAAUUUUAAGUUUUUGAUUAUCCUAUCUUCUUAGACUUGGCUGACAAGGACAUGAAGCAAAUUAAUGCUCUGUUUUGUGAGGUUUGGAGAGUUUGGAGAGAUAAUAGGUGGUCUAGUUGGGACCUCACAGGUGCAACAGAGUUUGUUAUUUUUUCUCUGCUCUGCGGCAGAUUUUCUGCUGUGUUAGACAGUAAUUUCAGCAGGUGUUUUGGUGGAGUUUGUGGCUGUCAAUAAUAACUCAUGGUCUAAUGGACAUAGAUAUUUGAGUUGUUUAUUUCUUUCUUUUACAAUAUCAUGUGUUGCAGAUCAUUAAAUCACAUAUGUGGCUUUGCUUGGUAUCUUUUCACCAAGUUUAAUUUUUUGUGUUUAUGUAGUCAUCUAUAAAUAUAGACUUCUUUACAAAAUAUGAUCAAGGGAGUACAUUCACCCACUUCUAUUUUCUAGACAGUAAGAAUCUUUUUUCCCUUGAAUACUCUCACCUUCUCAGGUCAUUCACCAAGUGAGUAGCUCUCAUUCUCAGGUCAUCUUGCUUAUGCCCAUUUGUUACUAAAUUUAUGAUAAACAUGCUUUUUUAUUUAUUUAUUUUUGUACAAGCAUGCUUUUUAUUUAAUAUUACACACUUUUUACUUUAUCACCAUGAGUUUACAAUUGUGUUUGGUUUGUUUAUUUUGUUUUUGGUCUCUAGCAGCCUUCAAAUUCUAUGGAUCUCGACUAUGACUUCACGUUGGACCAUCUUUCGACUAUCAAAGUAAUCAGAAAAGGGAGCAGUGAUGUAGUGCAACAUGUUCGCCAUAAGUGGGUUGUAAAAUUAUUUGCUUUAAAGAGCUUAUGUUUCACUAGAUGACGUGAAGGAGGAGUACGACUACCUAUAUGGCUGAAGAUGUUAUCAAUUAAUGAUGCAAAAAGGCGGCAAAAAUAAUAGUUGAUCAUUAAUUGGUAGUUUGAGGCCUUUCUUUUCUCAAUGAACUAGGUGGUUCUCAUCAAGUGACAGGUCAGAGAAGAAAGUAGGGCUAGAGUUUGACAAUCUCUUUUGUAGUGGUCUUUGUUUUGUACUAAAAUUUCAUUGAUUUUUCUCAUAAGUAUGGCCAAAGUUUGACAUAUCUCUUUUGUAGUGGUCUUUGUAUUUGCACUAUUCAAUUCGGAUUUGUCUUGUAGUCGGAUUGAUUUUGUUUAUGAAAUGAAUGUAUUACAAGAGUUUUUGUUUCGAAAGUCUAUAUAUAUAUAUAUAUAUUGAUACUAUUUUAAAAGUUCAAGAGCAAGUUGUCAAACAAAAAGUGCAAUUUAUUGUAAAAAACAGCAAUGUUUAAAAAAGGACAGGAUUAGUAAAAAAAAAAGGACAGGACAUACAAUAGCGUUUUUUACACAGGCGCUA